UACGGAGGGUGCGAGCGUUGUCCGGAAUCAUUGGGCGUAAAGGGCGCGUAGGUGGCGGGACAAGCGUGCGGUGAAAGCCUGGGGCUCAACCCCGGGUCGGCCGUGCGAACUGUUUUGCUUGAGCACUGUAGAGGCAGGCGGAAUUCCGGGUGUAGCGGUGGAAUGCGUAGAGAUCCGGAAGAACACCGGUGGCGAAGGCGGCCUGCUGGGCAGUAGCUGACACUGAGGCGCGAGAGCGUGGGGAGCGAACAGG
rnacentral:rRNA from 1 species